rnacentral:misc_RNA from 1 species
GCCGUCGCCAAUCCCUCUCUCUCAGUUGCUGGUCGCUGGUCGCCUUUCACCGUUUUUCGUCGAACAGCCAGCACAGCUCUUGAUGGAUCCGCCAACCCAGAAUACUUCGUUGCAACGCCUUCAAAAUGUGGAGAAGAGAAUUGUGAGAGUUUUGGAGCUAGCGGGAGGAGUCAUGGAAGAGCUUGCCAACCCUGCUGGUCCAAGAAAGGAAUUUGUCAACAAUCAUUGCAGUGAGUUCAUGCAAUUCAUCAAGGAUAUCCAAGUUACGUUGCGGGAUGAAAUCAAAAGUGCAUGUGAAUAU